rnacentral:lncRNA from 1 species
GGCAGUACUAAAGAAAAGCUUCAACUGUGAUUGGUAGACAUAAAAUUAGGGGAAGAUAUAGGAAGUGAUGCAAAAGAAGCAUCUUUAAAAUGAGAUAUCACUUCCUGUGAGGGACAGUUCUUCAUUCUUUGGAGUGGAGGCUGAAGGAGAAAUCUGCUGACUGGACCUGAGGCCCUGUUCCAAAUGAGACUGUUGGACUGAUACGUGGAAAGAAGGGCCCUGCUGUAUUAUGGUUGUCUUUGAGUAGCUAAAAGAAAUUGGACAAUUGGACUGAACAGUCAGAUGGUUACUCUGUGCCUUUUCUUCAGAUUCCUGCCAUGGUCAGCCUUAAAACACAUGUGAUAGAAGACAACAAGAACUAGUGAAAGAUACAGCUUAUAAAUGUACUGAUUUGUACAUUUGCAAGGGAAAGAAGAAAGGAGUCUGUUAAUAAACAUAUUAACAACAGCAUAUGGUGGCUCUCACCCAGAAGCAUUUGACAAAUUUAUACUGGCAAAUCAGCUUUCUGGUGAAAUGGCGUGGAGAAGCACUAUGACUUGGAAAAUGUAGGGAAU